rnacentral:rRNA from 3 species
UGCAGAAUCCCGCGAACCAUCGAGUCUUUGAACGCAAGUUGCGCCCGAGGCCAUCUGGCCGAGGGCACGCCUGCCUGGGCGUCACGCCAAACACGCUCCCACCCCACUAAACAUGGGGCGGGAUGCGGCAUGUGGCUCUCCGUCUCGCAAGGGGCGGUGGGCCGAAGAUCCGGCUGCCGGCGUAUCGUGCCGGACACAGCGCGUGGUAGGCGAUCUCGCUAUACUAAACGCAGUGCAUUCGGGACGUAGCCGACGCAAUGCCCUCAAUGGACCCUAUUAACGGAGCGCACGACACUUCGACCGCGACCCCAGGUCAGGCGGGACUACCCGCUGAAUUUAAGCAUAUAAAUAAGCGGAGGAGAAGAAACUUACAAGGAUUCCCCUAGUAACGGCGAGCGAACCGGGAACAGCCCAGCUUGAGAAUCGGGCGGCUGUGCCGUCCGA